CUGCCCUUCGGCUAGCACCCCAGCUGACACUAGCACACAGUGCCAAUGUCUGAUGUCCUGCCCUCCACUCCUAAGUGUUCUUUCUUUCUCCGUUGUCAUAUCUGGGGACCAGAUAAGCUCAUGCCUACCAAUUCCUGCAUCAGUCAUUUCCAUGGCGAGGUCUUAGAUGAUGCAGUGCUGAUGUUCCUGGUAACUAGACUCAAGAGAGCACACAGAUAAAGGCAACCAGGAAAAGGUUUCUGAUCCCCAAACUACUAUACUUACAUCAUUUGACUGCUUAAAUGGGGUGCUAGCUUCUCAAAAGCAGUCAACAAGCUCAUAUUAAGAAUGUAUUUAACAUUACUUCUUCCAUGCAUCUUUGAUGAUCUGUGUUUGUGUCCUGAAAUUUAGUGAAUUAAAUGUUAAUUUUGCUUAGACCAAGAGCA